rnacentral:lncRNA from 1 species
CCAAUGAGGAGCCGCGGGCGCUGCUGUGAGGCCCACAGAAAGACCCGAGGCGGCACUGGCCUUGAAAAAGUGGGGACCAGUUCCGGCCCCCAUCGUGGUGCCCCUCAUCCAGCCCUACCCACCCUCAAGCGUUUUUUGGCGGACAUGAUGGUGGAGCUAGGGGGAACCGGCCUCAGCUGGAAGGGGCGGGUGGAAGGCGCGGGGACUCUGGACAACGCCCCCGGGGGGCGGCAGAUUCGGGAUGGGAGUGGGGGCGAGAAUGGAGAGCUGCCGUGCGGGGCCCCGCAACGGCGGGAGGAGUGGGUGCCCAAGGCCGAGGAGAGAAAGAACAGCCGGUCGGGAGGGGGGAGAGGCGGAGCUGUUCAGGAGCGAGCGGAAAUGGUGCGGGGAGUCAGCCUCUGGGGCCGCCCGGGGAGCUGGGAUGCGGCGCGGGCCACGUGCGCCCGGGAGUACUUAGCGUGGCAGGCGGCCCGCGGGCGGUGGUGGAGACCCUCUGUGGGCAGGGCCUUGUGCUGGGACGACCAUCCCUCAGUCGCAGGGGCGCCCGGUGGCUUUCAGCUUUGAAUUCAGAGACUAUUGACGCCCCAGGCGGGGCCGGCGUCUCCAGACCAGGCCACGGGGCUGCAGAGAGAAGAACACGCCUGCUUUUGCCGCGGAUCGCGAGCGCUCGGGCGCAAAGACCCAGAGUGAGCUGACACGUCAAAGACAUUAUAAGGAAGAAGAUGAAACUCAAAGGUAAGAUUUAUAAACAUAGGCUCCCUGCUCUUAGAUUAAGUGUCCCUGAAGACUUCAACCUAAAGUGGAUCUCUGUAAGCAGAAUCCUGAUCAGGCACAUGCGGAUGUCUUCUGUUUGGAUACCAGUGGGAACUGUUAAGUGACUAUGUAAAUCUGACGAUAGUGAAGCACAAGCAUUUAUUUGAUAGCGUUGAAUGGGGGGAGGUGCAAAAUGUGAAGCAGUAACAAAUGAAAACUGCCUGUCGAUGUGAAGGAAAGGCAAAGAUAUAUUCAGGCAUGCAUCGAAGUAUUAAAAUGUAAGUGCACUGUAGAAACACUACAGACUGUGGGGCCUGGAUUCCAAUCCUGUCUGUGACAAUUAUAGUUGCGUAAACUUGGGGAAGUGACUUCCUCUUCAUUUCUUAGUUCCUACAGUACUACUUCAUAGGGUUGUUGCAAGAAUUAAAUGAAAUAAUAUGUUCAAAGCACUUAGAACAGUGUCUGGAUAUAAUGAGCUCAAUAUGAUGUUAGUUAUUGGUACCAUCAUCAUCAUCAUUGCUGUUUCUAGAAUUGCAUGUGCAAGGGCAGAAAGGAAUAUCGAAUGUGCAGAGCAUCAACAGAGAAGGUCUCCUUGAGAAGGGAGAAUCUGAACUGAGCUCUAAGCAUAGAAAGACCUCAAAACAAUGGAAAUGGGCGGUAGGAAACAGGUAGAUUCCGAGUGUAGGAAAGAGAAUGAGCCAAAGUACAAAGAAAAAAGUUUGAGGUAUGGGAAGGUCUAGCUGGUGUGUAUGGUGUUGCUGGGCAGUAGAGAGUGAUAAUGCUGGAAGGGGAAAAAAUCACAAGGUUUGGCAAUUGUUUAGAUGUGGCAAAUGAGGGUGUCAUGUAUAACCCAAAUAUAUGCUGGAAUUCAUAUGGCCCAGUCUCAAAGCAAUGAUGAACUGAAAAAACAGUCUAGCAACCAACGCUAUUUUAAAAUGAAAUCAAAAUUUUGCUUGCCAGUCUCCAAGAACAUCAAAAAGCAUGCAAUUCAUAAGCUUUAGGAACAAUUCCUAAACUUCCCUUUCCUCUCCUCAGUAAUUCUUACAUCUUGCCAGCUCUGGAGCUUCUCCUUCUCUUAACCUCCCCUUUUCCAUUUCUUCUGUCCUGAAACUCUCUCAGCAGCCUUAGGGCAUGAGGCCCUCAUCUUUUGUUCCCCUCCUCCUUUCCUUCUGCCUUUUCAGUCUUGUCUCUGUUUAUCCAUGCUCCUGAUUUUGAAUCACGAAGCCCAGGGACCAUCCUGAAAGAGGCAGAACUCUCCUUAGAAGGUAGGCUGAGCAAAGCUGUCAAAGACAAUAUCUUCUCCAUGGACAGUGGUAGAGAGAUUUACGUUGUGGCAGAGAGGUUAUGUAUUAACACUCUUAUGUUAAUACGUUUUUUAAGUCAUCAAAGAUAACAGUAAGGUUUUGAGCCUUGGUGAUAGAAUAAUGGAGGGUGUAUCAUUACAGAAAUAGGGAAGCCAAGGAUGGAAGAGCUUGGGAAGAUGUUGAGUUUGGAACAGUACAUAUAUUAGAGCUACAGCAUCAUUCCAGGUGUAGGUAGACAAAAGGAAGCUGGAUAAAGAGAUCAGGGAUUUAGACGGAUUUGGGUAUCAUCCCACAGAAGUGAUAGUUGAAGAUGUGGAAGUGCAUAAGAAAAGAAAUAUAAAGAAAACAUAGAGAAAGGUGAGCAUUAAGGACAGAACUUUAGAAAAUACUUACAUUUCAGGAUAGGAAUUGACAAGAGAAUUUAGGAAAGAAGAGAGAAAUCCUGGUGUCCAGGCCUCACCCAGACCAUUCCAUCAAAAUCUCUGGAGGUGGGAUUCAUGCAUUAACAUUCUUGACAGCUUCCCACUGAUUCCCUGUGGAGCCAAGUUGAAAACCUUGUGGCUUAUGUGAUGCCUGAUGGUUUUUAGGGUUGUAUGGAAAGCAGUUGUUAGGGAAUAAAGUUCUAGUUUACUGGAUUUAAAAAUCAGAAAAUCUAACAUUCUCGUUUUGCUGAGGAACCCGGGGCUCAAAGAGAUUAAUUAAUUUUGUGACCUUAAACAAGAAAUUUAAUGAAUUUCCAAACUCCUACUUACCUCUCACUGUCAUAAACAUGAUCUCCUCUCCCUCGUCUUCUCUCACCCCACUCCUCCUCAUCCUAGCCCAAGCCCUCUGCUACCCCUGCUCCGACUCUUCCUGUCUCUCCUUCUAUGGCUGUGCAAUCCAUCCAAAGGCUCUUGGUUCAGAUUUUAGAACGCUACAUUUCUGCCUGGUUAAAAGGCUCACUUGAGGUACCUCCAGCAGCGGCAGACCAGACCAGACCACACUGUCGGAGGAAAACCCUUCGAGGGACUCUCUUAUAACUUUGUGAGCCUGGAGGGAAGGGUAACCUCCAGAAGAAAAUGGAGGAUGGGGGGGCAUCCUGUAUUUUGAGGUGCUGGAGGUGGAGAUGCCCCGACUUCGCACAGUCUGCUCCUCAGAGACUCCAGCAGGCCCCUCUCUGCUGUUUAUGAAGUGGCGUCAAAGUCUGGGGCUGUGGUGGCGAGGCCUGCCAGAGCUGAUGAGGACACAGCAUUUGUGGGAAUUCUGUGACUCCAGAAGGCGAAAGGUCAGUUUCUUUUCAUUGACAGUGUUCAUGCUGCCCAAGAGUUUAUCUCUGAGAAUCUUGACUGGUUUCCAGGGUCAGGCUUCACCUCCAUUGUUAUCUGGAAACACAGGAACAGCCCUUUUGUCGUGCCAGACUAGGUCAGACAUUGG